AAUUUUUCUUCAUCGUAUUUAGAGAUGUUAUCCUCCUUUUCUGAACAUGAUGAUAAGGAAUAUU
rnacentral:antisense_RNA from 1 species